rfam:Triticum aestivum genome assembly, contig: Triticum_aestivum_CS42_TGACv1_scaffold_343101_4DL
UUUGUACUCCCUCCGUCCGAAAAUACUUGUCAUCAAAAUGGAUAAAAUGGGAUGUAUCUAGACAUAUUUUAGUUCUAGAUACAUCUCUAUUCAUCCAUUUUGAUGACAAGUAUUUUCGGACGGAGGGAGUAACUG